GAGGAGGAAGAGGAGGAGGAGGAAGAGGAGGAAGAGGAGGAGGAGGUGACGCAGGAGGAGGAGGAGGAGAAGGAGGAGCCAUGUCCGGCCUUGGCAGCCCAGCGAUUGGUUGUCAAACAGCCGGAUUGCAGGAUGGGGUCUUUGGGGUCCUUGAGGUCUUUGGGGUCCUUGAGGUCUUUGGGACGGCCGGCACAGCUGCUGUCCCUCCCCCUCAUGGAGUCCAGCAUGUAGAAAGACCAGUAGAGUCCAGACCAGUAAGAGAUAGACCAGUAAGAGAUAGACCAGGAGAGUCCAGACCAGUAGAGUCCAGACCAGUAAGAGAUAGAACAGGAGAGUCCAGACCAGUAAGAGAUAGACCAGUAGAGUCCAGACCAGUAAGAGAUAGACCAGGAGAGUCCAGACCAGUAAGAGAUAGAUCAGUAAGAGAUAGACCAGUAAGAGAUAGACCAGGAGAGUCCAGACCAGUAAGAGAUAGACCAGUAGAGUCCAGACCAGUAAGAGAUAGACAAGUAGAGUCCAGACCAGUAGAGUCCAGACCAGUCAGAGAUAGACCAGGAGACUCCAGACCAGUAAGAGAUAGACCAGUAGAGUACAGACCAGUAUGGUGGAGGCUGUCUGUGGACUGAUGAUGUACAGAUGAACUGACGGAGUGAUUGGCUUUGGGGGCCAUCACACCACCGCCAGGAACCACAUGAGAGCCUGCCGCGCAGCCUGCUAGCUUAGAGAGCUAGGUGAGAGAGCUAGGUGAGAGAGCUAGGUGAGAGAGCUAGGUGAGAGAGCUAGGUGAGAGAGCUAGGUGAGAGAGCUAGGUGAGCGCAUCUUAAGGAGCAGGUCAAAGUUCCUCAUGUUGCUGAGGAGAACCUCAUAUAGACACAUCUUUGAGUCUCUGCAUGUAUCGGACGUGACAUUUGAAUGAAGAAACAAACCCAACUCUGUCCCCACUGAAGCAGAAGUUCGACUUGUGCCGUCAAAAAACAUUCUUGAGAAUGAUUAGCUAGUAGCUUAGUUUAGCUUGUCGCAUUAGCAAGCAGCGCCAAUAAAGGGAACCAUUUUCAGAGAACUGCUGAAUGUUCAUGUUUUUUUUUUUUUUUCUGUUUUUUAUACAUUUAUUUAAAAGCCAUUCAUUAUUUAUAAGAAACGUUUUCCAAUUAAUUUGCUGUCAGGAAGGUGUGGUAUGUGUAAAUAGGACAAUUUGACCUUUGAACUGUUUGACUAUAUGAUUGUAUAGCUGUAAUUCUAUGCAUUCAAUAUCUAGGUGUAUCCAACUCGUUUCUAUAUUCUCUUCAGAUUGUCACAGUUUUUAUGUCUUUAGGACAAGAAUAAGGAACUAAGAAAUAGGCAUUAAGGGCUGGUACCAUGACAGGAUGAAGGGCAGGUCGGUAGGGCUUUAGUCUGCGUCAACAGUGGCAUUUAUACUGUUAAUGUAGAGUUACAAGGGCUCGAUACAACAGCUCACUAGUGGACUAUUAACACCACUACUACGACCACUAGUUCACUACUACUACCUAUAGUCCACUACUACGACCACUAGUUCAGGGCCCCGUUUCCCGAAAGCAUCUUUAGCCUAAGUGGAUCGCAGAGUGGGUCGUACAAGCAUCGUACAGUUUUCACACCGUUUCCCGAAAGCAUCUUUGGUAACGAACAUCUUGAAAACGCUCGUAGCUAACGAGUGCUCCAGGGUACUCGUAGGACGCUAAGAGCCUCGUUAGCCUACUAUAGCCUCAGUGGCGUAACCAGCGGACAUUCCUAGUAUUGGAUGCGUUUUAUUAUAACACAUUGGUAAUGGUGUAUCACGUGCGUCUGAGCCUAAUGUGGGCCAUUAUGUUCUUAGUUUGAGAGAGAAAGUCCAGGAAAUGUUUGAGCAGGCAGGGCACUUAAAAUGUGUGAGAGAGAGUGGGGGGGAUUUGUGCAGACUGACAUAGGCUACUCAUAAAAUGUAGCCUAAAAUAAGGUAAAAAAUAAUAAAAUAAAAAAAUAAUAAAAAUAUCAAUUAUAAAAAAAAUAAAAAUAAUGCAAACUAGCAGGCCUAAGGCUGGGUAAAUAUGGUGGGGAUUGGUCACGUUGACGGGAAUGUUUAGUGACAUGUGGGAGGGUGUAGGGGGUUAAAAAAAAAGUCUCAAUCACUCUUCGACGUGCAUGAAAUCCAGCCGCGUAGUUAUGAGGGAGGCCGUCCUCACACCGAUCUUCCUCGUCGUCAUCGUCCUCAAUGUCCUCCGGUUCAACCAAAGCUACCCCAGCCUUAGCUGCAAUGUUGUGCAACAUAGCUGUCACACAUAUCACAGCGCAUGACUUGGCCGGCGAAAACUGGAGCCCUCCGCUGGACUUGUGAAGGCAUCUAAAGCGCAACUUCCACCUCCCGAUCGUGCGCUCAGGAUUAGGACUGAUAUAUAUGUCGGCCUAGGCUUAAUCAAUUGUGUUUUAAUAUCUUUAGCAUUCAUAUUAUUGCAAUCUAUUCUUUUCGUAGGCUACUGCCUUGAUGGGGAGAUAUUUUAACCCUUUUUAACCCCAUUUUCCUCCGACAUUCCUGCGUCUCCCCCUGCGUCAUAGACCGUUUCAGCACCAUGUCAGUGGACAGGUACAAUCCUACGAUCGUCGUGAGUGCAGCGAAUGCGCGUUCACGUUAAGAGGAGUUUUGGGAAACGCUCCAAAGAAA